CCUACGGGAGGCAGCAGUGGGGAAUAUUGGGCAAUGGACGCAAGUCUGACCCAGCAACGCCGCGUGAAGGAAGAAGGCUUUCGGGUUGUAAACUUCUUUUAAGGGGGAAGAGCAGAAGACGGUACCCCUUGAAUAAGCCACGGCUAACUACGUGCCAGCAGCCGCGGUAAUACGUAGGUGGCAAGCGUUGUCCGGAUUUACUGGGUGUAAAGGGCGUGCAGCCGGAGAGACAAGUCAGAUGUGAAAUCCACGGGCUCAACCCGUGAACUGCAUUUGAAACUGUUUCCCUUGAGUGUCGGAGAGGUAACCGAAAUUCUUUGUGUAGAGGUGAAAGGCGUAGAUAUAAGGAAGAACACCAGGGGCGAAGGCGGAUUACUAGACGAUAACUGAGGGGGAGGCGGGAAAGGGUGGGGAGAAAACAGGAUUAGAUACCCUGUUAGUC
rnacentral:rRNA from 1 species